CCUAUGGAGAGUACUAGAACUUGUGAGUAGUAUCUUUGAUACAAAAGCAUACUCAUUGAAGUAGGAA
rnacentral:sRNA from 12 species